GGGGGGGGGGGGGGGGGGGCGGGGCGCGGGCGGGGGGGGCGGGGGGGCCCUGCUGUGGUGGGGGGCGCGGGUGGCGAACGGGUGAGUAACACGUGAGUAACCUGCCCUUGACUUUGGGAUAACUUCAGGAAACUGGGGCUAAUCCCGGCUCGGAGCUCCUGCUGCAUGGCGGGGGUUGGAAAGUUUCGGCGGUUGGGGAUGGACUCGCGGCUUAUCAGCUUGUUGGUGGGGUAGUGGCUUACCAAGGCUUUGACGGGUAGCCGGCCUGAGAGGGUGACCGGCCACAUUGGGACUGAGAUACGGCCCAGACUCCUACGGGAGGAAGCAGUGGGGAAUAUUGCACAAUGGGCGGAAGCCUGAUGCAGCAACGCCGCGUGCGGGAUGACGGCCUUCGGGUUGUAAACCGCUUUCGCCUGUGACGAAGCGUGAGUGACGGUAAUGGGUAAAGAAGCACCGGCUAACUACGUG
rnacentral:rRNA from 1 species